rnacentral:misc_RNA from 1 species
AAGUCGUAACAAGGUCUCCGUAGGUGAACCUGCGGAGGGAUCAUUACACAAUAAACAUAUGAAGGCUGCACCGCCAACAGGCGGCAAGGCUGGAGUAUUUUAUUACCCUUGUCUUUUGCGCACUUGUUGUUUCCUGGGCGGGUUCGCUCGCCUCCAGGACCACAUGAUAAACCUUUUUUAUGCAGUUGCAAUCAGCGUCAGUACAACAAAUGUAAAUCAUUUACAACUUUCAACAACGGAUCUCUUGGUUCUG